AAGUCGUAACAAGGUUUCCGUAGGUGAACCUGCGGAAGGAUCAUUAUUGGAUAAACCAAGGCGAGCUGUCUUGCUGGCCUCCCCUCCAGGAGGCAUGUGCACGCCCGUCAAACGUUUCAUUCAUCCCUUUCCACCUGUGCACACACUGUAGGUCGGAAAUCCCCUGCCUCGACGAACAGAGGUUUUUUGGGGGGCCUCCUUCCGGUCCUACGUCUCACAUCCUACCCCACUACAAAUGUGAUACGAAUGUAACGAUCUAGGCCUCCGCGCCUAAUAAACACAAUACAACUUUCAACAACGGAUCUCUUGGCUCUC
rnacentral:misc_RNA from 1 species